AAGGGCACCACAAGAACGCGUGGAGCAUGUGGCUUAAUUUGACUCAACGCGGGAAAUCUUACCGGGUCCGGGCACACUGAGGAUUGACAGGUAAAUGGAAUUGGCUCCUUGGAGUUAGUUCCGCAAAUAUGCCAGUCCUUUCAUGAUUGUGUGAUAGGUGGUGCAUGGCCGUUCUUAGUUCGUGGAAUAAUCUGUCUGCUUAAUUGCGUUUUUUAGAAAGGUCCGGAUAGCUGCAAAACCCCCAAGUUCCUUCAGCUUUCUGUUGGAAUGCGGGGCUGGCUAACGUGACCUUAUUGAAACGAACGUGACCCCUUUUAUCAUUUGGCUACAGUGACUUAUUACAACUCACUUGUAGUGUAACCCAUAAUAAGACUACUAGGCUCGACCUGAUGGAAGGUUGGGGCAAUAACAGGUCUGUGAUGCCCUUAGAUGUCCCGGGCUGCACACGUGCUACAAUGAUCUAUGCAGUAAGUAUCUAACAAGAAUCUAAGCAUUUUAUUGCUAUAGACAAGCCUUCUUCGAGAGUAAGAAGGUAAUCAAUUGUAAGUAUAGAUUUCCUUAUAGCUUCAGUGUCGUUUUACACUCCGGUGUGACGGCAUGUUGCUCUUUUCAAGACUUCAUAGUGGGGACAGACCUUUGUUAAUUGUUGGUCUCGUUUUCAACUAGGAAUGCCUUGUACGGGUCUUUGGUUCAACAGACCACCCGGAAUACGUCCCUGCCCUUUGUACACACCGCCCGUC
rnacentral:rRNA from 1 species